rnacentral:rRNA from 1 species
CAAUAAAAUGAUAAUGUUUUAUGAAAUUGAAAAUUUAUAUUUAGUAAAGAAUUGCUUAUAUUUAUUAUUAAGCUAAGAAAAAAUUUAUGUUAUUUUUUUUUGAAUUAUUAAUAAUAAGAAUAUAAGAUUAUUUUUAUUCUAGUAAAUUUAGUGCCAGCAGCUGCGGUUAUACUAAUAGGCUAAUAAUGAAUGGAUUAAUUAUUAUUUUAAAUUAAUUUUUAUUUAAAGGUGAAAUUUUACGUUAUUAUUUAAUAAAUUAAAUAAAUAAUUGAAGAGAAACAAUAAAAGGGAUUAGAUACCCCUGUAAUGAAAAUAAUUUUGGGUAGUAGUUAAUGUUUAAUAAACUUAAGUUUUAUGGCGGUACUUAGUAAUAGGGGGGUUUAUCCUUUAAAAGAUGUAACUCUAUUUAUCUUACUUUAAUAAUUUUUGUAUACCGUUGUUUAAAAAUGAGAGUAUUUAUUUUUUUAAGAUAAGAGUAUUUAAUUCAAAUCUAGGUGCAGAAUUUAAAGUUUGAGAGAGACUACUAAAAUUUUAUUUUUAGAAAAUAAUUUAAAAAUUAGGUGAGAGAGAACUUGUUAGUAAUAUAUUAGUAGAGAGUUUAUGUGGAAAAUUUGAGUAUGUUCAUAUCGCCCGUCAAUUUUUCUUUAAGUAGAAAGAUAAGUCGUAACAUAGUAAAUUUAAUGGAAAUUGAAUUUAAAGA